AGUUUGAUCCUGGCUCAGAUUGAACGCUGGCGGCAUGCCUUACACAUGCAAGUCGAACGGCAGCGGGCCUUCGGGUGCCGGCGAGUGGCGAACGGGUGAGUAAUGCAUCGGAACGUGCCAUUGAGUGGGGAUAACGUAGCGAAAGUUACGCUAAUACCGCAUAUUCUGUGAGCAGGAAAGCAGGGGACCGCAAGGCCUUGCGCUCUUUGAGCGGCCGAUGUCAGAUUAGCUAGUUGGUGAGGUAAAGGCUUACCAAGGCGACGAUCUGUAGCGGGUCUGAGAGGAUGAUCCGCCACACUGGAACUGAGACACGGUCCAGACUCCUACGGGAGGCAGCAGUGGGGAAUUUUGGACAAUGGGCGCAAGCCUGAUCCAGCCAUGCCGCGUGAGUGAAGAAGGCCUUCGGGUUGUAAAGCUCUUUCGGCCGGGAAGAAAUCGCAUGGGUUAAUACCCUGUGUGGAUGACGGUACCGGAAUAAGAAGCACCGGCUAACUACGUG
rnacentral:rRNA from 1 species